rnacentral:rRNA from 1 species
CGUGCUAAUCUGCGAUAAGCGCCGGUAAGGUGAUAUGAACCGUUAUAACCGGCGAUACCCGAAUGGGGAAACCCAGUGUGAUUCGUCACACUAUCAUUAACUGAAUCCAUAGGUUAAUGAGGCGAACCGGGGGAACUGAAACAUCUAAGUACCCCGAGGAAAAGAAAUCAACCGAGAUUCCCCCAGUAGCGGCGAGCGAACGGGGAGGAGCCCAGAGCCUGAAUCAGCAUGUGUGUUAGUGGAAGCGUCUGGAAAGGCGCGCGAUACAGGGUGACA